UCGGGUGCGUUAUUGGGCGUCGAGCGGCGGACGGGUGAGUAAUGCCUAGGAAAUUGCCUUGAUGUGGGGGAUAACCAUUGGAAACGAUGGCUAAUACCGCAUAAUGCCUACGGGCCAAAGAGGGGGAUCUUCGGACCUCUCGCGUCAAGAUAUGCCUAGGUGGGAUUAGCUAGUUGGUGAGGUAAUGGCUCACCAAGGCGACGAUCCCUAGCUGGUCUGAGAGGAUGAUCAGCCACACUGGAACUGAGACACGGUCCAGACUCCUACGGGAGGCAGCAGUGGGGAAUAUUGCACAAUGGGCGAAAGCCUGAUGCAGCCAUGCCGCGUGUAUGAAGAAGGCCUUCGGGUUGUAAAGUACUUUCAGUUGUGAGGAAGGGGGUAACGUUAAUAGCGUUAUCUCUUGACGUUAGCAACAGAAGAAGCACCGGCUAACUCCGUGCCAGCAGCCGCGGUAAUACGGAGGGUGCGAGCGUUAAUCGGAAUUACUGGGCGUAAAGCGCAUGCAGGUGGUUCAUUAAGUCAGAUGUGAAAG
rnacentral:rRNA from 1 species